rnacentral:lncRNA from 1 species
UUCUACUUUGUCUUCCUUUGUCCAUCAUCAUCAUCAUCACUAUCACCACUACCGUGAUUAUCAUCAUCACCAUCAUCAUUGCCAUCACCAUCACCAUCACCACCACCAUCACUACCACCAUCAUUACCAUCGUCCUCAUCACCAUCAUCAUUACCAACACCAUCACCACCACCAUCAUUAUCAUCACCAUCAUCACCACCAUCAUUAUCAAUCAUUAUCAUCACCACCACCACCACCAUCAUUAUCAUCACCAUCAUUACC